GGGGAAUAUUGCACAAUGGGCGCAAGCCUGAUGCAGCAACGCCGCGUGAGGGACGACGGCCUUCGGGUUGUAAACCUCUUUUAGCAGGGAAGAAGCGAAAGUGACGGUACCUGCAGAAAAAGCACCGGCUAACUACGUGCCAGCAGCCGCGGUAAUACGUAGGGUGCAAGCGUUGUCCGGAAUUAUUGGGCGUAAAGAGCUCGUAGGCGGUUUGUCGCGUCUGCUGUGAAAACGCGAGGCUCAACCUCGCGCCUGCAGUGGGUACGGGCAAACUAGAGUGCGGUAGGGGAGAUUGGAAUUCCUGGUGUAGCGGUGGAAUGCGCAGAUAUCAGGAGGAACACCGAUGGCGAAGGCAGAUCUCUGGGCCGUAACUGACGCUGAGGAGCGAAAGCAUGGGGAGCGAAC
rnacentral:rRNA from 1 species